AUGUCAGACCUCUGCGCUUCCUUCCCCCGUAAGUCCGUAGUCGUGACAGAAUGCCAGCGACCCCCCCAAAAGCGCAGAGGUGGAAAGCAGAGGAGAAGAAACGCCGCGAAGGACGCAGCCCGGCGCGGCGAACGCGGACGGCAGGGGAGAGACGCGCCGCCCGUUCUGGUGGAGCGUUUUCUCCCCGAGAAGCCGUGGUACGCGGCGCCGCGUGAUGACGUCACCCCCGGGAAACUCCGCGAAACCCGGAAGCGACAACGUCGGCGGGUGAGUGGGCGGAGCGAGGACGUUGGCGUCGGCAGCAGCGAGGAAGUGACGUGGGCAGCGAGCGCAGUAGAUGCGACCCCCACGAUCUUCGGCAUGUCGAGCCAAGAACUCUGCGCUCUGCUGGCAAGGCUCCCCGUGGACUGGGACGACACGGACGACGACGAGAGCACGGGAGACGAGAGUUGGGCUCCGCCCAUCGCGCCAGUCUGCGAUCGUCGCAAGGUCCGUGGGGACCCACGUCACUUCCAGGGGGGUGAGAAGCGGCAACAACAACGGCGGCGUUCCUCCAGCGAGGAGGUGGGCAGCCUCCAGCCCGAAUGGCCAGAGUACUGCCCAUGGGAGCUUAUCGCGCCAUGGGUCCAGGAUGUCCGCAGGGUGGACGACCCUCGGAGUCACCGGUGGGAGGACACGGAUGACGAAAGCGAUGAUGACGUGGAUUUUCGGUGGGCGGUCGUUGCCGGGAUGGCUCCGCCCAGCGUGCGCGUCCGAGAUCAUCGCGGCGUCCGUGAUGACCCAUGUGACUUCCGGGGGUACGAGGUUGACACGGACGACGACCAGGAUGACGCCGUUUGGGCAGUCGGUGCCGGGAUGGCUCCGCCCAUCGCGCCCAUCCAGGAUCGUCACGAGGUCCGUGGAGACCCACGUCCCUCCCAGCAGUGUGAGGAAAGCUGCUGGAAGAGGGCGACGGGAGGUCGCCAGCCAGCAACUGCGCUGCCGGGACUGCCUCGCAGGGAAUCCUCCAUUCCUGCUCCAGUCGCCGACCCGCCUUCCCUCUGCCCGGACGUUCCCCAGCAAAAUGGCAGCGCAGCACCAGCGUCCACACCUGCUGGAGAAGACGUCCACCCCCCUCCACACCACACACCUACCACCAUCUCCAGCGACGUGCCCAGCCCCGUGUGGGACAGCCCAAUUGUCCCGGGACCCUUCAGUGGGGCAGCAGACACGGAUAAGACCACCACCAUCCUCACGUGUCUGACUGGGUCAGCAUAG
ensembl:lncRNA